GCCCAUGACCAUGCCACCCUGAAUGUGCCUGAUCUUGUUUGAUCUCAGAAACUAAGCAAGGCCAGGCCUGUUAGUACUUAGAUGGUCUAAGAGAGGCAAGAUUCUUUUUGUUU
ensembl:rRNA 5S_rRNA 5S ribosomal RNA